AGAGCACAAGGAGAAUGCCUUGGCACUAGGAGCCGAUGAAAGACGUGGUAAGCUGCGAAAAGCUUCGGGGAGGCGCAAACAGCCAUCGAUCCGGAGAUAUCUGAAUGGGGAAACCUACUUGAGCAAACCUCAAGUAUCCAUACGUGAAUCCAUAGCGUAUGGAAGGGAACGCUGUGAACUGAAACAUCUAAGUAGCAGUAGGAGGAGAAAGAAAACUCGAUUUCCUAAGUAGCGGCGAGCGAACGGGAAAGAGGCCAAACCGAAGGACCUGGUUCUUCGGGGUUGCGGACUGCAAUUAGCAUUGCUGAGAGAUAGACGAAUGGUUUUGGGAAAGCCAGCCGUAGACGGUGAAAGCCCGGUAGACGAAAUCUUGAAGCAGCGAGCAGGAUCCAGAGUACCACGAGACACGAGAAACCUUGUGGGAAGCCGGGGGGACCACCCCCCAAGCCUAAAUACUCCCUAGUGACCGAUAGUGAAGCAGUACUGUGAAGGAAAGGUGAAAAGGACCCCGGGAGGGGAGUGAAAGAGAACCUGAAACCUUGUGCUUACAAACAGUCAAAGGCCUACGGGCUGAUGGCGUACUUUUUGUAGAACGGUCCGGCGAGUUACUAAUGCCAGCGAGGUUAAGUGGUCAGAAGCCACGGAGCCGAAGGGAAACCAAGUCUGAAUAGGGCGUAGAGUUGGUAUUAGUAGACCCGAAACCGGGUGACCUAUCCAUGUCCAGGUUGAAGGAACCGUAAAAGGUUUUGGAGGACCGAACACACAUGUGUUGAAAAACGUGGUGAUGAGGUGUGGAUAGCGGAGAAAUUCCAAUCGAACUCGGAGAUAGCUGGUUCUCCUCGAAAUAGCUUUAGGGCUAGCCUCGAGCUGGAGUCUAACGGAGGUAAAGCACUGAACUGACGCGGGGCCCAAAAAGGUUACCAACUCAUAUCAAACUAAGAAUGCCGUCAAGAUACCCUCGGGAGUCAGUCUGCGUGAGAUAAGUCGCGUGUUAAGUGGAAAAGGAUGUGGGAUUUCAUAGACAACUAGGAUGUUGGCUUAGAAGCAGCCAUACAUUUAAAGAGUGCGUAAUAGCUCACUAGUCGAGAAAACCUGCGCCGAAAAUGUAACGGGGCUAAAACACGACACCGAAGCUACGGAUUUCUUACUAAGUAAGGAGUGGUAGAGGAGCAUCCUGCAAGGACGAAGCCAAAGUGAGAGCGAUGGUGGACGAAACAGGAGAGAGAAUGCCGGAAUGAGUAGCGAGAUACAUGUGAGAAACAUGUAGGCCGAAUAUCUAAGGAUUCCUGGGUAAAGCUAAUCUUCCCAGGGUUAGUCGGGGCCUAAGGCGAGGACGAAAGUCGUAGUCGAUGGAUAACAGGUUGAUAUUCCUGUACUACACAUAAUCAGAACUGUGGGGACGCAGGAGGAUAGGGAAACCGGGGAAUGGAAAGACCCGGUCAAGCGUAAAGCUGUGGGAGAUAGGCAAAUCCGUCUCUUGUAAGUGAAACGUGAUGAGGACUGAAAAAAAGUAAGGAAGUUUCCGAAUCCACACUGCCGAGAAAAGCCGCUAUUGCGUUAUGUGUACCCGUACCGUAAACCGACACAGGUAGAUGAGGAGAAAAUCCACAGGCCGACGGGAGAAGUGUUGUUAAGGAACUCGGCAAAAUGACCCCGUAACUUCGGGAUAAGGGGAGCCUCGCAAGAGGCCGCAGAAAAGAGGCACAAGCAACUGUUUAGCAAAAACAUAGGUCUAUGCGAAACCGUAAGGUGAAGUAUAUGGGCUGACGCCUGCCCGGUGCUGGAAGGUUAAAAGGAGAGGUCAGCGCAAGCGAAGCUUUGAAUUCAAGCCCCAGUAAACGGCGGCCGUAACUAUAACGGUCCUAAGGUAGCGAAAUUCCUUGUCAGGUAAGUUCUGACCCGCACGAAAGGCGUAAUGAUUUGUGCACUGUCUCGACAACACGCCCGGUGAAAUUGAAGAACCAGUGAAGAUACUGGUUACCCGCAACAGGACGGAAAGACCCCAUGGAGCUUUACUGCAGCCUGAUACUGGGAUUCGAUGAUAUAUGUACAGGAUAGGUGGGAGGCUAAGAAGCGAGAACGCUAGUUUUCGUGGAGCCGCCGGUGGGAUACCACUCUUAUGUCAUUGAAUUUCUAACCUGCAUCCGUAAUCCGGAUGAGGGACAAUGUCAGGCGGGCAGUUUGACUGGGGCGGUCGCCUCCUAAAAGGUAACGGAGGCGCUCGAAGGUCACCUCAGAAUGAUUGGAAACCAUUCAAAGAGUGUAAAGGCAAAAGGUGGCUUGACUGCGAGAGCGACGGCUCGAGCAGGUACGAAAGUAGGACUUAGUGAUCCGGUGGUAAUAAGUGGGAAUGCCAUCGCUCAACGGAUAAAAGCUACCCUGGGGAUAACAGGCUUAUCUCCCCCAAGAGUUCACAUCGACGGGGAGGUUUGGCACCUCGAUGUCGGCUCA
rnacentral:rRNA from 1 species